rnacentral:tRNA from 1 species
AGCUCAGUUGGUUAGUAGCUUUCGCAGAAAGCAGAGAGCAUCUGACUGUUAAUCAGAGGGUCCUUGGUUCGAGCCCAAGAGGAG